rnacentral:rRNA from 1 species
GACGAACGCUGGCGGCGUGCUUAACACAUGCAAGUCGAACGGAGUGGCGAACGGGUGAGUAACACGUGGGUGAUCUGCCUUGCACUUCGGGGUCAGCUUGGGAAACUGGGUCUAAUACCGGAUAGUGCAAGAUGAGCUCGGGGCCUAUCAGCUUGUUGGUGGGGUAAUGGCCUACCAAGGCGUCGAAUGGUAGCCGGCCUGAGAGGUUGGACGGCCACAAUGGGACUGAGAGACGGCCCAGACUGCUACGGGAGGCAGCAGGCGGGAAUAUUGCACAAUGGGCGGAAGCGUGAUGCAGCGACGCCGCGUGGGGGAUGAAGGCCUUCGGGGUGUAAACUCCUUUCGACAGGGACGCGGUACCUGUAUAAGAAGCACCGGCUAACUACGUGCCAGCAGCCGCGGUAAUAC